GCAAGUCUGGUGCCAGCAGCCGCGGUAAUUCCAGCUCCAAUAGCGUAUAUUAAAGUUGUUGCAGUUAAAAAGCUCGUAGUUGAAUUUCGGGGUUCUACCAUUGGUCGGGCAAUAGUCAGUACUGGUGUGUAGAAUUUCUACCUUCUGGGGAACCAUCAUGUUAUUUAUUUAGCGUGGUAGGAAACCAGGACCUUUACCUUGAAAAAAUUAGAGUGUUCAAAGCAGGCUUACGUCUGAAUACAUUAGCAUGGAAUAAUAAAAUAGGACGGUGGUCCUGUUUUGUUGGUUUCUGAAUCACCGUAAUGAUUAAUAGGGAUAGUUGGGGGCAUUAGUAUUCAAUUGUCAGAGGUGAAAUUCUUGGAUUUAUUGAAGACUAACUUCUGCGAAAGCAUUUGCCAAGGAUGUUUUCAUUAAUCAAGAACGAAGGUUAGGGGAUCGAAGACGAUCAGAUACCGUCGUAGUCUUAACCAUAAACUAUGCCGACUAGGGAUCGGACGAUGUUAAUUUUUUUUGACUCGUUCGGCGCCUUACGGGAAAC
rnacentral:rRNA from 1 species